UGGGGGAUAUUGCACAAUGGGCGAAAGCCUGAUGCAGCGACGCCGCGUGGGGGAUGAAGGCCUUCGGGUUGUAAACUUCUUUUGCUCUGAACAAGGCGCACCAUGGGGUGUGUUGAGUGUAGGGGUUGAUUAGCGCCGGCUAACUACGUGCCAGCAGCCGCGGUAAUACGUAGGGCGCGAGCGUUGUCCGGAAUUAUUGGGCGUAAAGGGCUUGUAGGUGGCUGGUUGCGUCUGUCGUGAAAGCUCAUGGCUUAACUGUGGGUUUGCGGUGGGUACGGGCUGGCUUGAGUGCAGUAGUGGAGGCUGGAAUUCCUGGUGUAGCGGUGGAAUGCGCAGAUAUCAGGAGGAAUACCGGUGGCGAAGGCGGGUCUCUGGGCUGUUACUGACACUGAGGAGCGAAAGCAUGGGGAGCGAACAGG
rnacentral:rRNA from 1 species